rnacentral:lncRNA from 1 species
UGGUUGCCCUUCCUGCAAUGAAGGCAAGUGUGUCCCUGCAGAGGCCACUGAGUCUAGAGCUGCUUUUAGGGAGCUGCCAAUGGCACAGCCCUCCCUACUCGGGGAAGCUGAGGGCACCAUCACAGUGAGGCAGCCAGGAGCCAGGGCUUCCAUGACACAGGCCUUGAUUGCUUGAUUUGUUCUUUUUUUUUUUUUAUUUCUUGAAUGCCUCCUAUGCAUAAGACAUUGUGGCAGGUGCUAUGAUUGGAAAGAUGUACAAGUUUGUA